rnacentral:rRNA from 1 species
CAGCAGCCGCGGUAAUACGAGGGGGGCAAGCGUUGUUCGGAGUUACUGGGCGUAAAGCGCGCGCAGGCGGUUACUCAAGUCAGAGGUGAAAGCCCGGGGCUCAACCCCGGAACUGCCUUUGAAACUAGGUGACUAGAAUCUUGGAGAGAUCAGUGGAAUUCCAAGUGUAGAGGUGAAAUUCGUAGAUAUUCGGAAGAGCACCAGUGGCGAAGGCGACUGACUGGACAAGUAUUGACGCUGAGGUGCGAAAGCGUGGGGAGCAAACAGGAUUAGAUACCCCGGUAGUCCCUGUCUCUUAUAC